AGUGAACGCUGGCGGUAGGCCUAACACAUGCAAGUCGAACGGCAGCACAGUAAGAGCUUGCUCUUACGGGUGGCGAGUGGCGGACGGGUGAGGAAUACAUCGGAAUCUACUUUUUCGCGGGGGAUAACGUAGGGAAACUUACGCUAAUACCGCAUACGACCUACGGGUGAAAGCAGGGGAUCUUCGGACCUUGCGCGAUUGAAUGAGCCGAUGUCGGAUUAGCUAGUUGGCGGGGUAAAGGCCCACCAAGGCGACGAUCCGUAGCUGGUCUGAGAGGAUGGUCGGCCACACGGGAAGUGAGACACGGUCCAGACUCCUACGGGAGGCAGCAGUGGGGAAUAUUGGGCAAUGGGCGCAAGCCUGAUCCAGCCAUACCGCGUGGGUGAAGAAGGCCUUCGGGUUGUAAAGCCCUUUUGUUGGGAAAGAAAAGCAGCAGGUUAAUACCCCGCUGUUCUGACGGUACCCAAAGAAUAAGCACCGGCUAACUUCGUG
rnacentral:rRNA from 1 species